GAUGAAGAACGUAGCGAAAUGCGAUACUUGGUGUGAAUUGCAGAAUCCCGUGAACCAUCGAGUCUUUGAACGCAAGUUGCUCCUCAAGCCAUUAGGUUGAGGGCACGUCUGCCUGGGCGUCACAUAUCGUUGCCUGAUGCCAGUUUCCUCGUGAUGGGUGACUGUGCAGGGCGAAUGAUGGCUUCCCGUGAGCAUUGUUGCCUCAUGGUUGGUUGAAAAUUGAGUCCUUGGUAGGGGGCGCCGUGAUAGAUGGUGGUUGAGUGACGAACGAGACCCAAUCAUGUGAGACCCCUACCGAAUUUGGCCUUCAUGACCCACAUGCGUCUUUGGAACGCUCAUGACGAGACCUCAGGUCAGGCGGGGCUACCCGCUGAGUUUAAGCAUAUCAAUAAGCGGAGGA
rnacentral:misc_RNA from 1 species